AUGGCGUCCCAUCUCCGGCCCGCCUCGUCGUGCCCCUCCUUUCGCCUCCCCUCCUCCACAGCCUCUGCACCUCCGCCGAGCCUCCUUUCCAGGCGGCAAAAGGCACCUCCCGCCCCACCCACGCCCCACGCCCCUCCUUCCCGGCCCCGCGUCGCCGCCGCCGCGGCCUACGGAGGCGCCCAGCUGCUGGGUCCCGUCGACACGCAGACAUUCAUCAUCGCCGCCUCCGUCGUUACCGCGGUUUCCUUGUCCCUCGUCCUCGGCCUCAAGGGGGACCCCGUUCCGUGCGACCGGUGUGCUGGAAACGGAGGCACAAAGUGCGUCUUCUGCAAUGACGGCAAGAUGAAGGCGGAUAACGGGGUGGUUGAAUGCAGGGUAUGCAGAGGAGCAGGGCUGAUACUCUGCAAGAAGUGCUCAGGUUCUGGUUACUCUAAGCGCUUGUAG
rnacentral:rRNA from 1 species